rnacentral:rRNA from 1 species
GCUAACCUACGGGACGCAGCAGUGAGGAAUAUUGGUCAAUGGCCGGAAGGCUGAGCCAGCCAAGCCGCGUGAAGGACGAAGGUGCCAAGCAUUGUAAACUUCUUUUGUCAAGGGACAAAAUCAGGCUCGAGAGCCUGACCGAGGGUACUUGAAGAAAAAGCAUCGGCUAACUCCGUGCCAGCAGCCGCGGUAAUACGGAGGAUGCGAGCGUUAUCCGGAUUUAUUGGGUUUAAAGGGUGCGUAGGCGGACUGUUAAGUCAGCGGAAAAAGCCCGGGGCUCACCCGCGGCGAGCCGGUG